CUCAUUUGAUGUGCACUUCUCCCUUGAUUAACAGUGGAAGCAAAAACUGAUUUAAUGAGUCUGAUGA
rfam:Solenopsis invicta Si_gnG.contig13140, whole genome shotgun sequence.